rnacentral:lncRNA from 1 species
AAAUGCCUGCUGGCCAGAGAGCCUCGCCCGCCAGGCCGGGGCCCCAGGGUUCGAAGUUAACGGUCAGUCUGGAAUCUCGGCCUCAGCAGUGGGACCACCCGGAGGGGUGGGGGUACAUGUUCGAAAGAAAAGGACUCACUUAAAUGGAGAAACCCGGAUUAGGAAAGAGAGAAAGCAGCGGCAGCAGACACGGGCCAGGGUCUGCACUCCUCCUCCCAUUUGCAGCCUUCGUAAGUGGACACUUCCAACCCCUACACCUGCCUGUCCUCCCAGUCCAGCCUUGGCCCGAGAUGUGAUCUAAUUCUCACUAUGCUGCUGUGGGCAGAGCACAUGGCAUCAGAAUGCUAGGAGCUGCUGUCGGGCGCCAUGGGAGGGAAUUCCCCAACUCAGGAAAGCUCUUCCAGCGGAAAGGAGCAGGUGGCGAGCCUCCCUGAAGAGACAGACACUGCCAACGCUACAGGCAGAGCCAAUCGUGGGGCAGUUUGCUGGACCUCACAGAGGUGAUUGAUGCAGCAUCCCCCCGGGAGCCGGGUGAAAUCACAGACUCCAGCAGCAGCUUCUGAGAUGACUGUGGCUAACAAAUUUUUCCAGCAACACAGAGCUGAGAGGAUUGGGAUCUCAGAGAAGAAGGAGCCCUGCAUUCUUGGCUUCAUCUGCCUGGAGUGGAGUUUCCAUCAUGCUGAGCUGGAGGUGCACGGGGCCAGGGAAUGAGCAAGUCGUAGCUCAAAUGUCCCAGACUCUUACUAUUCUUAUUGAAAUUUAGUAGGUUUUCUUGAAUAAAUGUUUCUUCAUCUGCUGUAUGCCCUUAGGACAAUUCCCAGGAACAUACAUCUAUAUUGAUAUCAAUAUAAAUAUAAAUAGAUAAUUAUGUAUGUAUAACUUUAGCAGUUUUACUUGUUCUGCUGGAAAGAAGGUCUGGAAGGUUUGCAGAGCUGCUCAUGCCACCAUUCCAGAAGUUAUCCACCAGUUCAUUGCUUUUUGCACAGUAGUAUUCCAUUGCAUGUCUAUGCCACAAUUUGUUUAUCCAUUCACCUGUUGAUGGACAUUUGAGCUGUUUCCUGUUUGAGGCUAUUACAAAUAAAGCUGCUUUACAAAU